rnacentral:rRNA from 1 species
AUGGGCAGAGCUCUCCGGCAGCCACGGCGCCCGAUGUGGAGCCGUGGGAUUAGACGAAGACGAGUCCUGCGAAGAACUCGAACUCGAGCUUUUGUCGGGGUCAUCCUCAACCACCGCUCACCCGAUGGAAGGGGCCUUGGUCUUGGUGAGAUGAGGAGAUUGGCGGCACGCCGCCUCAACCCUGGAGGCUUUGGUGGUAGUCUUCUUCACCUUCCUGAUAGCUGGGCCGGCAGCGACAUGCUUGCGGGUGCGCGGCUCGGGGUCCGGCUCGGGGGCUUGCAGCCCGGCCGCAAGCCACUCCUCAGGCUCCGCCAUCUCGCCAACCUCCUCCUCCUUCUGAAGCUCCUUUUCUUCCAUGAGUAG